CAGUAGCCGCGGUAAUACAGAGGGUGCAAGCGUUAAUCGGAAUUACUGGGCGUAAAGCGCGCGUAGGUGGUUUGUUAAGUUGGAUGUGAAAUCCCCGGGCUCAACCUGGGAACUGCAUCCAAAACUGGCAAGCUAGAGUAUGGUAGAGGGUGGUGGAAUUUCCUGUGUAGCGGUGAAAUGCGUAGAUAUAGGAAGGAACACCAGUGGCGAAGGCGACCACCUGGACUGAUACUGACACUGAGGUGCGAAAGCGUGGGGAGCAAACAGGAUUAGAUACCCCUGUAGUCCCUGUCUCUUAUCC
rnacentral:rRNA from 1 species